rnacentral:rRNA from 1 species
GAUGAACGCUGGCGGCGUGCUUAACACAUGCAAGUCGAACGGAAAGGCCCAAGCUUGCUUGGGUGCUCGAGUGGCGAACGGGUGAGUAACACGUGGGUGAUCUGCCCUGCACUUUGGGAUAAGCCUGGGAAACUGGGUCUAAUACCGGAUAGGACCAUCGGUUAGUGUCGGUGGGGGAAAGUUUUUCGGUGUGGGAUGAGCUCGCGGCCUAUCAGCUUGUUGGUGGGGGUAUGGCCUACCAAGGCGUCGACGGGUAGCCGGCCUGGGAGGGUGUACGGCCACAUUGGGACUGAGAUUCGGCCCAGACUCCUACGGGAGGCAGCAGUGGGGAAUUUUGCACAAUGGGCGCAAGCCUGAUGCAGCGACGCCGCGUGGGGGAUGACGGCCUUCGGGUUGUAAACUCCUUUCGCCAAGGACGAAGCGUUUUGUGACGGUACUUGGAGAAGAAGCACCGGCUAACUACGUG